UCCAAGAUAAUUGGAGCUAAUGAUGUCCAUUGGCUUCAUUGUCUCCAUUGUCUUUUGUCAAAAACCAUAGAAAGCAACAGCUGCAAAAGUCACAAUCCACAGUCCUCUUUCACAGGAGGAUCUCUACUGUUAUGCCAGGUAGAAGGUUUAUUACAAACUGAAAAAAAACACAGGAGGAUCUCUACUGUUAUUACAAACUGAACAAAAAACACAGGAGGAUCUCUACUGUUAUGCCAGAGACUGUAAUCGCAUCACAGUUAAUGGUCCUGACACAGCCAGCAACUUCCAGCUGAAGUGAAGUCCAUAGUAAAGUUACCUGUGUGCAAUUGCUGUGUCACACCUUACGGCACCUGAAUGGACACCUGCAGGUUAACCCUGCCAGGGGAACUUCUCUUCCUCCUUCCCUCUCCAUGGGUGGGCAAGCCUUUGUGAGACACCUUUGGCAAGCAAGGGGUGAAAACACAGCUCUCAUAGACAGCCCAGAGUUUAGCACAGCUUGGCUUCGGCCUCUGAACUGACUGCUCCUGCAGCAGUUAACCAGGGUCAAUGCAAAAUAAGGCACAUACAUUGGGAGAAUAGAAACACUGCUGUUCAGGAGGACAAGCCAUUGCGGGACAAGCAUGGGAGACCCAAGCAGCUAUCUCACCGAGGGGCAGAGAAGCAGUGACUGGAAGCGAGCAGCCCACCAGCAUCUUAACGCAUUUGGGGCCAUUCUCCAGGAGAGAAUAACACUGUCUGCCAUGCAGGUUUGUGGGACUGCUGUGCUCCCCAGCAAAGCCCCUGUGGAAGCCCACUGACUUCCCUGCACAUGCACCUUUCCUUCACCUGGGUGUAACUGAUGGAUCAACUCCCACUAGCAACUUACACUCUGUGGAAAGUAAAACUGCCUGGAGAAGCACACGCUUCAGGCAGGCUGAGUAUUCCUGAUGUGCCUGAGGCCAACAGUAACAAAUAUGGAAGACUCUCACAGAGCCUUUAGAAGAAAUGGCGAUUUAUACAUAGGCUGCAAUGCUUUAAAAAUUGAACAUUUUAGAUAUUUUCUGCAUUUUCUUGUACUCUUGGGUGAGCAGUGGGUUUCCAACAGCUAUGGCAAAAAUCAGCUGGUGUGCCAGGCAUACAAAAGCAAGCUUGGACUCUGUAACUGGAAGAGUAGAGGGGUGCUAGUAAACACAUCCCACCAGUGUUGAUGGGACUCUCCCCGGACUGCCACAUGUUGAGAAGGAUGGUGACAAGGGAAAGCUGGUGUCCAGCGUAACAGUGCCGUGMUCAGAGAGAUCAGUCUACCUUAUCAGAACAGAACCAAACCCCAAAACAGGUGGGCUAGGAUGUAUUGCUACCCUCACAGGUACCSAAACAAGCUCUUUAGUGUCAAACAGAAAAGCAUGAGGAAACAUUAAAAACUGAAAAGUGACAYGUGAAACAUAAGUAGCACAUACACUUAAUGGUGAAAAUGAUAAAUCAUUUGCACAAACUUCCCAAGGAUACAGCAGAGUCUCUGAUUCUUCAAUUUUGCCAAAUCAAAUGGGAUGCCUUUCUUGAUCAUGUGGUUUUUGCCAAGACACACUGCUGGCCCAAGACAAGGGUAAAUGAGUGACGAAGGUUUGUCAAAUCCAGGAAGGCAAAUUAGCUACUCAAACAGUCCCUUUUAGCCUGGAGCAAUAUGAAUAGCUCCUUCUAAGCUCUGAUGGAUCACAUCUGUUAAUAGCUUCCCAGCAUCAAUUGCACCAGCAG